GACGAACGCUGGCGGCGUGCCUAAUACAUGCAAGUCGAGCGAAUCUUUGGGAGCUUGCUCCCAAAGAUUAGCGGCGGACGGGUGAGUAACACGUGGGCAACCUGCCUAUAAGACUGGAUAACUUCGGGAAACCGGAGCUAAUACCGGAUAAUUCAUAUCUACUCAUGUAGAUAUGCUGAAAGACGGUUUCGGCUGUCACUUAUAGAUGGGCCCGAGGCGCAUUAGCUAGUUGGUGAGGUAAUGGCUCACCAAGGCAACGAUGCGUAGCCGACCUGAGAGGGUGAUCGGCCACACUGGGACUGAGACACGGCCCAGACUCCUACGGGAGGCAGCAGUAGGGAAUCUUCCGCAAUGGACGAAAGUCUGACGGAGCAACGCCGCGUGAGUGAUGAAGGUUUUCGGAUCGUAAAACUCUGUUGUUAGGGAAGAAUAAGUACCAGAGUAACUGCUGGUACCUUGACGGUACCUAACCAGAAAGCCACGGCUAACUACGUGCCAGCCGCCGCCGUAA
rnacentral:rRNA from 1 species